GACGAACGCUGGCGGCGUGCUUAACACAUGCAAGUCGAACGGAAAGGCCCUGCUUUUGUGGGGUGCUCGAGUGGCGAACGGGUGAGUAACACGUUAGUAACCUGCCCUUGACUUUGGGAUAACUUCAGGAAACUGGGGCUAAUACCGGAUAGGAGCUCCUGCUGCAUGGUGGGGGUUGGAAAGUUUCGGCGGUUGGGGAUGGACGCGCGGCUUAUCAGCUUGUUGGUGGGGUAGUGGCUUACCAAGGCUUUGACGGGUAGCCGGCCUGAGAGGGUGACCGGCCACAUUGGGACUGAGAUACGGCCCAGACUCCUACGGGAGGCAGCAGUGGGGAAUAUUGCACAAUGGGCGGAAGCCUGAUGCAGAAACGCCGCGUGCGGGAUGACGGCCUUCGGGUUGUAAACCGCUUUCGCCUGUGACGAAGCGUGAGUGACGGUAAUGGGUAAAGAAGCACCGGCUAACUACGUG
rnacentral:rRNA from 1 species